AACUUUCGACAAUGGAUCACUUGGUUCUGGCAUCGAUGAAGAACGCAGCGAAAUGCGAUAAGUAAUGUGAAUUGCAAUUCAGUGAAUCAUCGAAUCUUUGAACGCACAUUGCGCCCCUUGGUAUUCCGAGGGGCAUGCCUGUUCGAGCGUCAUUACAACCCUCAAGCAAUGCUUGGUAUUGGGCCUCGCCGGUCACCCGGCGGGCUCUAAAAUCAGUGGCGGUGCCGUCGGGCUCUGAGCGUAGUAAUUCUUCUCGCUAUAGAGUCCCGGUGGAUGCUGGCCAACAACCCCCAAUUUUCUAUGGUUGACCUCGGAUCAGGUAGGGAUACCCGCUGAACUUAAGCAUAUCAAUAAGCGGAGGCU
rnacentral:misc_RNA from 1 species